AGAGUUUGAUCAUGGCUCAGGACGAACGCUGGCGGCGUGCUUAACACAUGCAAGUCGAGCGGUAAGGCCUUUCGGGGUACACGAGCGGCGAACGGGUGAGUAACGCGUGGGUGAUCUGCCCUGCACUCUGGGAUAAGCUUGGGAAACUGGGUCUAAUACCGGAUAUGACUGCAUGCCGCAUGGUGUGUGGUGGAAAGAUUUAUCGGUGCAGGAUGGGCCCGCGGCCUAUCAGCUUGUUGGUGGGGUAAUGGCCUACCAAGGCGACGACGGGUAGCCGACCUGAGAGGGUGACCGGCCACACUGGGACUGAGACACGGCCCAGACUCCUACGGGAGGCAGCAGUGGGGAAUAUUGCACAAUGGGCGGAAGCCUGAUGCAGCGACGCCGCGUGAGGGAUGAAGGCCUUCGGGUUGUAAACCUCUUUCAGCAGGGACGAAGCGUGAGUGACGGUACCUGCAGAAGAAGCACCGGCUAACUACGUGCCAGCAGCCGCGGUAAUACGUAGGGUGCGAGCGUUGUCCGGAAUUACUGGGCGUAAAGAGUUCGUAGGCGGUUUGUCGCGUCGUUUGUGAAAACCCGGGGCUCAACUUCGGGCUUGCAGGCGAUACGGGCAGACUUGAGUGUUUCAGGGGAGACUGGAAUUCCUGGUGUAGCGGUGAAAUGCGCAGAUAUCAGGAGGAACACCGGUGGCGAAGGCGGGUCUCUGGGAAACAACUGACGCUGAGGAACGAAAGCGUGGGUAGCAAACAGGAUUAGAUACCCUGGUAGUCC
rnacentral:rRNA from 1 species